ACCAGGUACAGGGUAGUCCCUAGUCGACCCCUCUUGACUUGUAUUCCAGUUACUGCCUGUCUGGGCUGUCUGUCUUUCCGUCUGGCUUUUGCCAAUUUUGUGACUUAUAGAAGCACAUAUUUAGCCAAACUUUUCGUUGAGUUGGCCAAGUUAAAUAUAUCUUAUCCGUUUCGCCAGCUGUUUGUGCGAUUCAACUUGACGCUUCGAGCCGGCAACUGCAGCCACAAUCUUUUGCGGCUUAUCAGCUGACGCCGCUCUCCCUCUCUCUCUUUCGCUCUCCCUCUCUCUUUUGCUCUCUCUCUGACUGCGUUUGCUUUCGCAUUUGCAAACUUCAUGCAACAUUCGCGUAUCACAGUUAACCGUUAACAGUUGCCAAUUUCAAUCGCGUUAAUACAGUGCGCGCGUUCGCGUUAUUCGCAAUUCCUGGCCAUAAAGUUGAGACCAGCUAAAUAAAUCCGUGUACAUAUGUGUGUGUGAGCUACUACGGAUUUAUAUAUAGAAAA